rnacentral:tRNA from 1 species
GCCAUAGCUCAGUUGGCAGAGCAUUGGGCUAGUAUUCCAAAGGUCGUAGGUUCGAUUCCCACUGUGGCC